rnacentral:rRNA from 1 species
AACGUAGGAGACAAACGUUAUCCGGAGUUACUGGGCGUAAAGGGCGUGUAGGUGGUAUCGUAAGUCUGGCGUGAAAUUUCUCGGCUUAACCGAGGCAGGUCGUCGGAUACUGCGAGGCUAGAGGACGGUAGAGGCGUGUGGAAUUCCGGGUGUAGUGGUGAAAUGCGUAGAGAUCCGGAGGAACACCAGUGGCGAAGGCGACACGCUGGGCCGUACCUGACGCUGAGGAGCGAAAGCGUGGGGAGCGAACAGG